rnacentral:snRNA from 1 species
UAGUGAUUAUAGCUCUUUUGCUUUUUGUCUAGUAGGUUCCUGCGGGUAGCGGGAACCACC